UGUGAGAGAGGCAGACCACAAUCUGGCCCGGACUACAAACGGCACCAAGCAUAAAGGGAUUAGCUAGAGUCUUCAUCCCACCCAGGAUCACCACCUCAAACAGUUUACACAACAGAAGAGGCAGCAGGAUCCUUGUACUAUCCUGGAGGAAGUGCCAAACCCGGAAGCAGUUCUGGGCAGUUCCACCAAAAAAAAAAAAAAAA